UGGGGAAUUUUGGACAAUGGGCGAAAGCCUGAUCCAGCAAUGCCGCGUGUGUGAAGAAGGCCUUCGGGUUGUAAAGCACUUUUGUCCGGAAAGAAAUCCUUGGCUCUAAUACAGUCGGGGGAUGACGGUACCGGAAGAAUAAGCACCGGCUAACUACGUGCCAGCAGCCGCGGUAAUACGUAGGGUGCAAGCGUUAAUCGGAAUUACUGGGCGUAAAGCGUGCGCAGGCGGUUUGCUAAGACCGAUGUGAAAUCCCCGGGCUCAACCUGGGAACUGCAUUGGUGACUGGCAGGCUAGAGUAUGGCAGAGGGGGGUAGAAUUCCACGUGUAGCAGUGAAAUGCGUAGAGAUGUGGAGGAAUACCGAUGGCGAAAGGCAGCCCCCUGGGCCAAUACUGACGCUCAUGCACGAAAGCGUGGGGAGCAAACAGGAUUAGAUACCCUGGUAGUCCACG
rnacentral:rRNA from 1 species